rnacentral:rRNA from 1 species
AUUGAACGCUGGCGGAAUGCUUUACACAUGCAAGUCGAACGGCAGCACGGGGCAACCUGGUGGCGAGUGGCGAACGGGUGAGUAAUACAUCGGAACGUGCCUAAUCGUGGGGGAUAACGUAGCGAAAGUUACGCUAAUACCGCAUACGAUCUACGGAUGAAAGCGGGGGAUCGCAAGACCUCGCGCGAAUGGAGCGGCCGAUGUCAGAUUAGGUAGUUGGUGGGGUAAAGGCUCACCAAGCCGACGAUCUGUAGCUGGUCUGGGAGGACGACCAGCCACACUGGGACUGAGACACGGCCCAGACUCCUACGGGAGGCAGCAGUGGGGAAUUUUGGACAAUGGGCGCAAGCCUGAUCCAGCCAUUCCGCGUGCAGGAUGAAGGCCUUCGGGUUGUAAACUGCUUUUGUACGGAACGAAACGGCGAGCUCUAAUACAGUUUGCUAAUGACGGUACCGUAAGAAUAAGCACCGGCUAACUACGUGCCAGCCGCCGCCGUAACAC